rnacentral:rRNA from 1 species
CCUACGGGGGGCAGCAGUGGGGAAUCUUCCGCAAUGGGCGCAAGCCUGACGGAGCAAUGCCGCGUGAACGAAGAAGGUCUUCGGAUUGUAAAGUUCUGUCCUUAUCGAAGAGAGAGUAUAGAGUGAAAAAUGAUAUACUAGGACGGUAGAUGAGGAGAAAGCCCCGGCUAACUACGUGCCAGCAGCCGCGGUAAUACGGGGGAUGCGAGCGUUAUCCGGAUUUAUUGGGUUAAAAGGGUGCGUAGGCGGAUUGUAAAGUCAGCGGUAAAAUGUCCGGGCUAAACCCGGGCCGGCCGUUGAAACUGGGGAUCUUGAGUGGGGGAGAGGUAGGCGGAAUGCGUGGUGUAGCGGUGAAAUGCGUAGAUAUCACGAAGAACUCCGGUUGCGAAGGCAGCAUACCGGCG